GCCUCCAUAGCUCAAUUGGUAGAGCAGCGGACUCUUAAUCCGUUGGUUCCAGGUUCGAGUCCUGGUGGGGGCACCA
rnacentral:tRNA from 2 species